GACGAACGCUGGCGGCGUGCUUAACACAUGCAAGUCGAACGGAAAGGCCCUGCUUGCAGUGUACUCGAGUGGCGAACGGGUGAGUAACACGUGGGUGAUCUGCCCUGCACUUCGGGAUAAGCCUGGGAAACUGGGUCUAAUACCGGAUAGGAGCCAUUUUUAGUGUGAUGGUUGGAAAGUUUUUUCGGUGUAGGAUGAGCUCGCGGCCUAUCAGCUUGUUGGUGGAGGAAUGGCCUACCAAGGCGGCUACGGGUAGCCGGCCUGAGAGGGUGGACGGCCACACUGGGACUGAGAUACGGCCCAGACUCCGACGGGAGGCAGCAGUGGGGAAUAUUGCACAAUGGGCGCAAGCCUGAUGCAGCGACGCCGCGUGGGGGAUGACGGCCUUAGGGUUGUAAACUCCUUUCGCUAGGGACGAAGCUUUUUGUGACGGUACCUAGAUAAGAAGCACCGGCUAACUACGUG
rnacentral:rRNA from 1 species